rnacentral:lncRNA from 1 species
GAGAGAGAGAGAGAGGGAGAAGGAGAACCGGCGACCGGAGGCCGUAGCCGGCGAUCUGAUCAGCGCCGGCGACCGUCGGUCGGAGCCGGCGGCCGGAUCGGGUCGGCGACGGCGCCGGGAACCGGGGCCGGUAAGCUGGGGGUGGGGAGAGGGUCGGGCGAGAGAGAGAGGGGGAGAGAGGGGGAGAGAGCCGUUGGAGAGAGAGAGAGCUUUAGAAAAUCGCUACAUCUUGAGAGAAGUAAAAAACAAAAAGAAAAAAUUGAAACUUCAUUAUAAGUAAUAACUCACGUAUAGUUAACUAAAUCGCACUAGGAAUCCAAAAACAUUUGCAUGAAGAGAAUUC